GGCCAUCCUCACUUUAGCUCCGUACCUUGCUCUGACCUCGGUGUGUCUCCACCUGACUUUCAGGUGAACGAUGAUCAGCAAACACUGGCCUGGUGACGGUGGCCCAGCUUGUCUUCCUGGGUUUUCAUCCUUUCCUGGAUCCUGGCUCGGUGAAUCUCAUUAUCCUGCUGGGUUUCCACUGCUGUAAGGAAGACAGUUGAAGAGUAUGGAAUUCAGCUAUUUUCACUGUCUUUGGUGGAGAGAAACCCGGCAAACCUCUCUGACAUCCAAUGUGCGGCAGCAGCACCUUCUCCAGUGAAGCCCGACGUCUGGGGAGGAGACCCUCCCUCCCAAGUUUAUCUUCCUCCGUCGCCCUGGUGCCCUGCAGAGUUCUCGUACAUACUGUGGUCACUCUUGCAUCAGAACUUAAUCUCUUCAUGUGAAACUUGCCCUGUUUAAGUCACACUGUGGCUUCUGUCUCCUGAUUGGACCUCGAUUGGUACAGAAAUCAACAUCCAAUUAGCGCUGUCUGUU